rnacentral:misc_RNA from 1 species
UUGAUUAUUUAUCAUUUUCUCAGACUUCACUAUUAUCAGAGUUCAUUCCAUCGGCAGGCGCUACUCGUGGAAAGUUCCACCAGCUCAUCCAUACGGAAGAGGUCCCGCCGAAGUUGAUUAACAACUAGGUAUUCAAGGGUGGGGGGUAUUCUUCGAAAUCAACCGAAAAAUCAUACCUCGCUAAUGAUCCUUCCGCAGGUUCACCUACGGAAA